rnacentral:rRNA from 1 species
UACAGAGGGUGCGAGCGUUAUUCGGAUUUACUGGGCGUAAAGGGCGCGUAGGCGGUUUAGUAAGUGAGAUGUGAAAUCCCUGGGCUUAACCUAGGAACUGCAUCUCAUACUGCGAAGCUAGAGUAUUGUAGAGGGUAGUGGAAUUUCCGGUGUAGCGGUGAAAUGCGUAGAGAUCAGAAGGAACACCAGUGGCGAAGGCGGCUACCUGGACAAAUACUGACGCUGAUGCGCGAGAGCGUGGGGAGCAAACAGG